rnacentral:rRNA from 1 species
AUGUACUGUUUUUGCUGGAUGUGGUCAUUGUUUUUGCUUCCACCACGUUCUGGGCUGCGACUGUGGGGGAGUCGCCGGGCUGCCGUCGGCGAGUUGGCUGGUGCUGCAGUAGAAGCAUGCGAGGAUAUGGGGAAGGAGGAGGUCCAGGGUGCAGGACAUGGCCACGGGGGAGACGAUGGGGGAGCUGAAGUGGAGAGGCGGCGACGGCGAACUCUGGCCCGCGGCGGGGGCAGCGACCUGCAUGGUGGGCGGGGCAGGUGGUCGGGGAUUGGCGGCAACCCAGGGUGCAGGGGGGUGCGCAUGGAGGGUCGAUUUGGUGGGGCGAGGGGAAUUUUUUCCCUACUCGUGGGGAACGAUGGGAACGAAGUAGGGAGAAAGACGAUGGGGAACGACGUCUAUCGACAGCUGUGCAAGAUUAAUUAA